GGACUGUUCAUUUCAACAGCUUGGGAAUCACAGGGCUUCCCUGCACAGCAAACUGGAUCAGGUCACAGGGUCAUCCUCUUCAAGAUACACUGCAGAGGGCUCCCAUCGACUACGAUUAAAGGGAAAAUACAGUACGGAAGUUGGCAAGGAUGUGGGACACUCAGAACACCAUAGACUGCUGAUGAUGAACUGUGCAUUGUAGGAAAAUGCAAAACUGUUCAGACAGAGGUGACAAAAUGAAGACAGCCUGGACUUUGGACUCUGCUCCCUGGAUUCCAGUCUGCUUCCUGGCAUGUGUGAUAACUUGUUUCUCUGGAUCUCUGACAUCCUUUGAGCCAUACACCCUCUUAGACUACAUGGGGAUUUAGUAACAGCUUAUACAGUUGUUUGGUCUACAGUAAAAGUCAAAACUAGUUGCACUGAACAGUGCAACAGAAUUUUAAGAAUGCAAAAUUCCAUGUAUUUAAAGGUCUUCUCAGUGCGUUGCAGCAGUUAAACCACCCUUGGCCAUCACCCUUUAACACUACAAAGCCUUGAGCUUCUAAGUGAUAUUUUAUCAUGUCUAGUUACACAUCAGACCUUUCUGUAUAAACACAUACAUGCUUUUAUUGAUUCACUUUCCAUCUGUGACAAUGGCCAUUCGAUACAAUAAAUGCAUUGAUUAGGUUG